AUAUAAUGCUGGGGUACGAUGCGGAGCGAAAUUUAGUAGCGAAGUAGCUGAUUUCACACUGUCGAGAAAAGUCUCUAUCGAGGUUAAAGGUGCCUGUACCGCAAACCGACACAGGUGGGUGAGGAGAGUAUCCUAAGGCCAGCGAGAGAACUGUUGUUAAGGAACUCGGCAAAAUGACCCCGUAACUUAGGGAGAAGGGGUGCCUUCGAAAGAAGGCCGCAGAGAACAGGCCCAAGCGACUGUUUACCAAAAACAUAGGUUUCUGCUAAGUCGCAAGACGAUGUAUAGGAGCUGACGCCUGCCCGGUGCUGGAAGGUUAAGGGGAUCUGUUAGAGCAAUCGAAGCAGUGAACUUAAGCCCCAGUAAACGGCGGCCGUAACAAUAACGGUCCUAAGGUAGCGAAAUUCCUUGUCGGGUAAGUUCCGACCCGCACGAAAGGCGUAACGAUUUGGGCACUGUCUCAACAACAGACUCGGUGAAAUUGUAAUACCGGUGAAGAUGCCGGUUACCUGCGACAGGACGGAAAGACCCCAUGGAGCUUUACUGUAGCUUGACAUUGAGUCUCGGUGCUACAUGUACAGGAUAGGUGGGAGACUAUGAAGCAUGGACGUCAGUCUGUGUGGAGUCAUCCUUGGGAUACCACCCUUGUAGUACUGGGAUUCUAACCAGAGGCCAUGAAUCUGGUCUUGGGACACUGUCAGGUGGACAGUUUGACUGGGGCGGUCGCCUCCCAAAAAGUAACGGAGGCGCUCAAAGGUUCUCUCAGUACGGUCGGAAAUCGUACGAAGAGUGUAAAGGCAAAAGAGAGCUUGAUUGCAAGACAUACAGGUCGAGCAAGGACGAAAGUCGGACUUAGUGAUCCGGUGGUUCCGCAUGGAAGGGCCAUCGCUCAACGGAUAAAAGCUACCCUGGGGAUAACAGGCUGAUCUCCCCCAAGAGUCCACAUCGACGGGGAGGUUUGGCACCUCGAUGUCGGCUCAUCACAUCCUGGGGCUGUAGUAGGUCCCAAGGGUUGGGCUGUUCGCCCAUUAAAGUGGUACGCGAGCUGGGUUCAGAACGUCGUGAGACAGUUCGGUCCCUAUCCGUCGCAGGCGUAGGAAAUUUGAGGAGACCUGUCCUUAGUACGAGAGGACCGGGAUGGACGUACCGCUGGUGUACCAGUUGUUCUGCCAAGGGCAUGGCUGGGUAGCUAAGUACGGAAAGGAUAAGCGCUGAAAGCAUCUAAGCGCGAAGCCCACUUCAAGAUAAGAUUUCCCACCGCAAGGUUAAGAUCCCAGGAAGACUACCUGGUUGAUAGGUCAGAGGUGUAAGUGCAGUAAUGUAUUUAGCUUACUGAUACUAAUAGAUCGAGGACUUGAUCAA
rnacentral:rRNA from 1 species